rnacentral:rRNA from 1 species
ACGAACGCUGGCGGCAGGCCUAAAACAUGCAAGUCGAACGCUCUAGCAAUAGAGAGUGGCGCACGGGUGCGUAACACGUGGGAAUAUGCCUUUUGGUACGGAACAACGUCUGGAAACGGACGCUAAUACCGUAUGGUCCCUUCGGGGUAAAGAUUUAUCGCCAAAAGAGUAGCCCGCGCUGGAUUAGCUAGUUGGUGAGGUAAUGGCUCACCAAGGCGACGAUCCAUAGCUGGUCUGAGAGGACGAUCAGCCACACUGGGACUGAGACACGGCCCAGACUCCUACGGGAGGCAGCAGUUAGGAAUAUUGGACAAUGGGGGCAACCCUGAUCCAGCCAUGCCGCGUGAGUGAUGAAGGCCUUCGGGUUGUAAAGCUCUUUUACCCGAGAUGAUAAUGACAGUAUCGGGAGAAUAAGCUCCGGCUAACUCCGU